CUAAAAACUAAAAUUGAAUGCUUUCAGAAUUUUACGUGAGUCAACAUUGAAAAAAGAAAUAAUUUUCACCAUAAGAGUAGAAGACCACAUUUUAGUCUGCAAAAACGCCAAUAUAUGGUUGCUGACAGUCCCAAUGGACUAUGAUUAAGAUUUUUUAGACGGCCCUGGAGGAAUUGAUUAGUUAUAAGGCAGUGUUUACAAAAACACUAUUCUAUAGAUUUUAUAUAUACAUAAAGGAUAACCACUUAAGCUCCAGUUAGAAGCACGAAUAUAGGAGCUGUACCCAUUAAAUUCUAAUAAAGGAGAAUUUGAUUAAUCCCUAUUUAGAGGUAUGUCUUAGUCACUAUUUGUAACAUCAAAAUGGAUAUUAAUAAUAAAAAUGUCCUAGUAGUUCCAUCAAAUAAACACAUCUUAGAAUGUGCUAUUUAUAUUUUAGGUUACGAUCUGCCAUAAGAAUUUAUCAAGUGCAAUUCAUCCUUUUCCCUAUAU